UCCUUUGUAUAGUCUUGAUGAAUCAGGUUAAGUGUACUUCUAUUCCGAUUGGGUUUGUAAGUUUUGUAAUAAUCCAGAUGCACACACUCAUAAAUGCCACAUUCCAAAUCUGAAUGAACCAAAAAGGAUGUGCUUCAGGAUGUCCUUUUUGGUUGAUCCAUUCUUGUUAUGUUCUUCUUCAUUUUGAAUUUGAAAUCAAGUCUCAUAGGCUUAUUAAGAUUAUGGGUUUUAUUUUUUCCACAGGGAAUACCAAAGAGGUUCAUGAGAAAAUAUGGUGAGAAUCUGUUGAAAAGGAUGCUUCUGAGUGUGUCAAAUGGUGCAAUUAUUUGGCCUGUGGAAUUGGAAAAUGUGAUGAGAUGGUUGGGUUAUCAAAGGGUUGGAAUGAAUUUGCAGAGCAUUACUCUAUCAAAGAAUCUGGACAGUCCUCGCUAUCAACAUCAUAUUCUCCCCCCACUCUUGAAGUCCGGCAAACUCCUGUUGUUUUAUAAUUACUGGGAGGACCAAACAGUCAAGCAGAUUGGCAUCCUGAGCUGGUUUUUUAUGGUCCCACACACCCAAGGCCUCUCAUUGCUCUUGAAUCCUCCAACAUAUUUCAAACGGAGCAUCCCUUUUCAAGGUGAUGAUGAGGCCAUCUUGUGUUAAGGAUGGCAUGGUAUAUAUCUUAACAAUGGAAUAAUUGAAGCAGGCAAAAGAAUCAAAGGACAGUUAUUGGGACAUAAGCUGGUGGAUGGAGGUUCGAGAAGAUAACAAUCUUCUCCUUUUUAAGGAUGUGCAGAGUUUACAUAUUCACCAGUGCUGGUAAGGACUUGAUUUACAUAGAUUGAGAUGAACUCUGGAGGUGUCACUUUGGCUGGUCCAAAAUAAAUUCAGUAUUCCAAAUAAUAUCUCCUUUGUAUAGUCUUGAUGAAUCAAUAAAGUGUACUUCUAUUCUGAUUGGCUUUGUGAGGUUCAUGAUAAUCCAGAU